rnacentral:rRNA from 2 species
CUUAGAGUUUGAUCAUGGCUCAGUGACAAACGCUGGCGGCGUGCCUAACACAUGCAAGUCGAACGGACGAGGGGAGCUUGCUCCCUGAGUUAGUGGCGGACGGGUGAGUAAUACGUGAGCAACCUGCCUUUCAGAGGGGAACAACAGCUGGAAACGGCUGCUAAUACCGCAUGAUAUAUAUCUAGGGCAUCCUUAAUAUAUCAAAGAUUUAUCGCUGAAAGAUGGGCUCACGUCUGAUUAGCUAGUUGGUGAGGUAAUGGCUCACCAAGGCUGCGAUCAGUAGCCGGACUGAGAGGUCGAACGGCCACAUUGGGACUGAGAUACGGCCCAGACUCCUACGGGAGGCAGCAGUGGGGAAUAUUGGGCAAUGGGGGAAACCCUGACCCAGCAACGCCGCGUGAAGGAAGAAGGCUUUCGGGUUGUAAACUUCUUUUACCAGGGAAGAAUAAAAUGACGGUACCUGGAGAAUAAGCCACGGCUAACUACGUGCCAGCAGCCGCGGUAAUACGUAGGUGGCAAGCGUUGUCCGGAUUUACUGGGUGUAAAGGGCGCGUACGCGGGAUUACAAGUCAC